AGAGAGACCCCAGCAGCAGCAGCAGCUGAUGAUGAAGAGAGAGGCAGUGGCAGAGGGGGGGCACCUUUUAUUUCUAUUUUUAAAGGGACAGGACACUAAUUUUACCCCACUUCAACCUUGAAUUGAGGGGGGUGGGGGGAAGGCGGCUGAGUUCCUUCCCCCACCCUCCAGCCCUGAGACCUGAGAGGGGGAUUGAGCCUGAGAAAGAAGGAGAAGGAGUUUCUUCUUCUUCCAAACCCCCCCAUCCACGACUCCUACCCCCUCACCCCUCCACUAGCCUCCCUCCCGAGCCCUCUCCAUCCUCCUCCUCUUUGGCCGUGAGAGGAGAGAAAGAGACCAAAAGCCUCUUAGCAACACAGACCCUUCUCUGCUGCUGCUGCUGCUGCUGUUGCUGUUGCUGCUGCUGUUGCUGCUGCUGCUGCUGCUGCUACUGCUGCUUGGCCCUGGCUGGAGACAUCUCACUACACCCAGGAGCAGCCACUUCCCCAGCUCUCCUCCUCCUUCGCCUCCUCCUCCUCCUCCACUCCCCCCCUCUUUAUUACCCUUUGUGUCAUCCUCCACAGCUCCAGGGAAGGCACUCAAAAGUGGGGGGCAGGAAAGGAUGCCACCACCUUCCUGUGACAUGCCUACCUUGAAACUUCAUCUUUAUAUUGGGAUUAUAAAGUUCUACCCAACCAGAAUUUAAAUAUUCCAAAAACAAAGACAUAAAACAAAAGAUGCUUAUUGAGGAUAUCAUUUUCUGUGUGUGGAAAUUAGAUACUGAAGGUUACAUGGUUUACAGACAAGAUCUUUAAAAAGAGACAUUCAAGGACCAAGGAAAUAAAUACCAGAAACCAAGAGCACAGAGUAUUUUCCUUCAUCAAACCAUAGACUCUUCUCUAGUUUAAUCAAACACAAAAGAAUGACCACCUUGGCAAAUGG
rnacentral:lncRNA from 1 species